GAAACGCGCUGCUAACGUUUAAUUUAUAGAGCUGCCUGAUGGUUGAUUCGCCUUAUUUUAAUCAACUAUAUAAAUUUAUUUUGCUAUUGUUUUAAGCAGCAGUUUAUUUCAAAUGAAUGUCUUCAUUUGGAAUUUACAUAACUAUGCUUCAGUUCUUCGAGAUGGCAGUUGCUUGAAUUGCAUAUGCCCAUGAGUGGCAACUGCUCAAAUCGAUUAUAAGACAUUAUAUUUGAAAUGCUCAAAUUUAACGGUUGAGCUCAGCACGCUCAACCGGUCUGAUGAAAUGGAAUUGUUUGAUCGGAGGUUUUAGGAAUGGAUUGCAGAGAAUACUUGGAGCUCAUGAGAUCAUGCAGGACCGCAACGAUGGCGAGCGAGAUUUUCAUGGCAUGGAAACACGUCUUCGCACUUUCGACCAGCCCGGCACCGCUGCAAGCCGCGAGAAUUCCCACAAACGUCGCAGCAUCGGGCUUGUGGCCCUCGUCUUGCAAUCGGUGA
rnacentral:lncRNA from 1 species